rnacentral:lncRNA from 1 species
GUUAGCUUUAAUUAUUCCAGGUGCAGAUUUAUAGUGUUGCCAUUAAAAGCCAAAAGCCAAUGAAGCUAGUGAUGGUUGUUCUGUAUGUGUUUCUUACCCUUUUAAAUGCACAUUGAUCUCAUGCUGUAAGGGUUAUAGACUACACAAAUGCAAAUGGAGUUGGAUGUUCAUUUGUUUAUUGUUUUAGAUGUUUGACAGAAGAUGCCGUCCUUUGACAAAUACUUAAGCAAAUUAAAUCACACAAGCAUGAAUCCCAUAAAAUAGACUAACAUGAAUUUUCCGGUUUUCCUAAGCUCCUCUUUCCAAAACCAUUAUCUCUUUUUUUGAACAGCUUCUACUCCAGAGGAAAUUGUCCAUUUGGACAACUACAGUCAAAACAGAGUAUAAGAGAGCACUCAGAAAGAAAGAGGCUCUGGAGGAAAACGCUUACCAUCAAAUUCUUGCCCUUUCUGUGAAGUUUCAGGGCCUCUGAAGAACUCAGCUUUGGAAACACGGCGUAACCAAGACCUUGUGAGGUAAGAAGUUCCUAUCCUCUACGUGUUCCUCUAGCGCGCCAUACAUUCAGUACCGUUCCCUUUAUUUUCUGUGGGUAUUCCCCUGUCUGCAGGAGCGGCUGGGCAUUUGUGCUCGAAGGAGAUCAUCACACCGAAGGCUCAGCGCUAGUGACUGAAGGGCAGCAGUGGUGGGAGAGCUGCUGCGCUAAUGCCAUUGCUUGGGAAAACUCUGCGGACACUGCUGCAGAGUCUUGAAAAGUGCUCUGCGGAAGUUAUUCAGAGUUGAAGAUAUAUCUCCGUGUAAUUAAAACAAGAGAUCACUUUGAGACAGCUGCAUAGUCUACCUUCAAGUGUGCCCCACACAGCAGUGGAGAGGGUAAGGAUUAAGCUCCUUCUUUGCUAUACCGAAGUUAUCAUGAGGCUUCUGCAGAUCAAACUGAAGGCAUUUGCUUUCGUGUAAUGUAUUUUUUCUUCCUCUAGGAUGAGCGUAUCCACAUGAUAAUUACAUUUUCUAAGAGGUGCAGAAGUCACUUUUUUAAUAUACACACUUGUUCCCACCAAAUGGGUCAGAGCAUGCUCCAUUUCU